rnacentral:rRNA from 1 species
CGGCUCAAAGAGGGGGACCUUCGGGCCUCUCGCGUCAGGAUAUGCCCAGGUGGGAUUAGCUAGUUGGUGAGGUAAGGGCUCACCAAGGCGACGAUCCCUAGCUGGUCUGAGAGGAUGAUCAGCCACACUGGAACUGAGACACGGUCCAGACUCCUACGGGAGGCAGCAGUGGGGAAUAUUGCACAAUGGGCGCAAGCCUGAUGCAGCCAUGCCGCGUGUGUGAAGAAGGCCUUCGGGUUGUAAAGCACUUUCAGUCGUGAGGAAGGUGGUAGUGUUAAUAGCACUAUCAUUUGACGUUAGCGACAGAAGAAGCACCGGCUAACUCCGUGCCAGCAGCCGCGGUAAUACGGAGGGUGCGAGCGUUAAUCGGAAUUACUGGGCGUAAAGCGCAUGCAGGUGGUUUGUUAAGUCAGAUGUGAAAGCCCGGGGCUCAACCUCGGAACUGCAUUUGAAACUGGCAGACUAGAGUACUGUAGAGGGGGGUAGAAUUUCAGGUGUAGCGGUGAAAUGCGUAGAGAUCUGAAGGAAUACCGGUGGCGAAGGCGGCCCCCUGGACAGAUACUGACACUCAGAUGCGAAAGCGUGGGGAGCAAACAGGAUUAGAUACCCUGGUAGUCCACGCUGUAAACGAUGUCUACUUGGAGGUUGUGGCCUUGAGCCGUGGCUUUCGGAGCUAACGCGUUAAGUAGACCGCCUGGGGAGUACGGUCGCAAGAUUAAAACUCAAAUGAAUUGACGGGGGCCCGCACAAGCGGUGGAGCAUGUGGUUUAAUUCGAUGCAACGCGAAGAACCUUACCUACUCUUGACAUCCAGAGAAUCUAGCGGAGACGCUGGAGUGCCUUCGGGAACUCUGAGACAGGUGCUGCAUGGCUGUCGUCAGCUCGUGUUGUGAAAUGUUGGGUUAAGUCCCGCAACGAGCGCAACCCUUAUCCUUGUUUGCCAGCGAGUAAUGUCGGGAACUCCAGGGAGACUGCCGGUGAUAAACCGGAGGAAGGUGGGGACGACGUCAAGUCAUCAUGGCCCUUACGAGUAGGGCUACACACGUGCUACAAUGGCGCAUACAGAGGGCGGCCAACUUGCGAAAGUGAGCGAAUCCCAAAAAGUGCGUCGUAGUCCGGAUUGGAGUCUGCAACUCGACUCCAUGAAGUCGGAAUCGCUAGUAAUCGUGGAUCAGAAUGCCACGGUGAAUACGUUCCCGGGCCUUGUACACACCGCCCGUCACACCAUGGGAGUGGGCUGCAAAAGAAGUGGGUAGUUUAACCUUCGGGAGGACGCUCACCACUUUGUGGUUCAUGACUGGGGUGAAGUCGUAACAAGGUAGCGCUAGGGGAACCUGGCGCUGGAUCACCUCCUUAUACGAUGAU